rnacentral:tRNA from 1 species
GACAAGGUGGCCGAGCGGUUAAGGCGUGUGACUCAAGAUCACGGUAACGUGGCGUGGGUUCAAGUCUCACUCUUGUCA